rnacentral:rRNA from 1 species
AGUGAACGCUGGCGGUAGGCCUAACACAUGCAAGUCGAACGGCAGCACAGUAAGAGCUUGCUCUUACGGGUGGCGAGUGGCGGACGGGUGAGGAAUACAUCGGAAUCUACUUUUUCGUGGGGGAUAACGUAGGGAAACUUACGCUAAUACCGCAUACGACCUACGGGUGAAAGCAGGGGAUCUUCGGACCUUGCGCGAUUGAAUGAGCCGAUGUCGGAUUAGCUAGUUGGCGGGGUAAAGGCCCACCAAGGCGACGAUCCGUAGCUGGUCUGAGAGGAUGGGCAGCCACACUGGAACUGAGACACGGUACAGACGCCUACGGGAGGCAGCAGUAGGGAAUAUUGGACAAUGGGCGCAAGCCUGAUCCAGCCAUACCGCGUGGGUGAAGAAGGCCUUCGGGUUGUAAAGCCCUUUUGUUGGGAAAGAAAAGCAGCAGGUUAAUACCCCGCUGUUCUGACGGUACCCAAAGAAUAAGCACCGGCUAACUUCGUG